CAGCUCUGGGUGGCUCGGGGCCACCCGCAGCUCGGGGCAGCGCGGGGCUGCUCACGGUGUGGGGCGGCUCGGGACUGCCCAGGACUGCCC